UAGACAGUCCUUCACCUCGCAGGCCAUCCGAGGAGAGCGUCGCUGGAAACCGCCUCCCGCAGGACCCCCUCGCAGUGCGGCCGACCCGCGCCCUGCCCCGAGGCUCCCCCUGAGGCCCUGCCCCGAGGCUCCCCCCGAGGCCGGCCGGACCUCGAGGAGCAGCGAAGGAGAAGCUGGUCCUCGGGUUCAGCAUUUAAAGGAUAUAAAAGUAACUAGAUACAAGAAAGUAAGAAAGAAAAAAAAAUGAGAUCUCUAUCCCCCUGAAAAAAGGUGUUUCCUCAUCAGCUGUUUCGGCCAAAACAUUGCAUCAUUGGAGAAGCAGAAAGGAGGAAUAGAUAACAAUGUACGAGUGGAGAAAUUCGACCGGCCGGCUCUCGGCUCCUUCAGUGCAGACUCCAGCGAAACUGGGGGCUACUGCUGAGGGUCCAGGCAUCAU